ACCUGACUGGCUCAGUGGGAAGAGCACGUGACUCUUGAUCUCAGGGUUGUGAGUUUGAGUCCCUUGGUGGGUG
rnacentral:tRNA from 1 species